rnacentral:rRNA from 1 species
AUUGAACGCUGGCGGCAUGCUUUACACAUGCAAGUCGAACGGUAACAGGGAGCUUGCUCCGCUGACGAGUGGCGAACGGGUGAGUAAUGCGUCGGAACGUGCCGAGUAGUGGGGGAUAACGCAGCGAAAGUUGUGCUAAUACCGCAUACGUACUGAGGUAGAAAGUGGGGGACCUUCGGGCCUCACGCUAUUCGAGCGGCCGACGUCUGAUUAGCUAGUAGGUGAGGUAAAGGCUCACCUAGGCGACGAUCAGUAGCGGGUCUGAUAGGAUGGUCCGCCACACUGGGACUGAUGCACGGCCCAGAGUCCUACGGGAGGCAGCAGUGGGGAAUUUUGGACAAUGGGCGACAGCCUGAUCCAGCCAUGCCGCGUGUCUGAAGAAGGCCUUCGGGUUGUAAAGGACUUUUGUCGGGGAGGAAAUCCCCAGCGUUAAUACCGCUGGGGGAUGACAGUACCUGAAGAAUAAGCACCGGCUAACUACGUGCCAGCCGCCGCCGUAACAC